rnacentral:rRNA from 1 species
GGAGGAAUAUUGGUCAAUGGGGCGGAAGCCUGAACCAGCCAUGCCGCGUGAAGGAAUAAGGCCCUAUGGGUCGUAAACCUCUUUUGGCGGGGAGCGAUAAGGUCUACGUGUAGACCGAUGAGAGUACUCGUUGAAUAAGCAUCGGCUAACUCCGUGCCAGCAGCCGCGGUAAUACGGAGGACGCGAGCGUUAUCCGGAUUUAUUGGGUUUAAAGGGUGCGUAGGCUGUUUGUCAAGUCAGAGGUGAAAGGCCGCAGCUCAACUGUGGAAUUGCCUUUGAUACUGGCAGGCUUGAAUACUGUUGCCGUGGGAGGAAUGAGUAGUGUAGCGGUGAAAUGCAUAGAUAUUACUCAGAACACCGACUGCGAAGGCAUCUCACGAAGCAGAGGUUGACGCUGA